AUGAACGCUGGCGGCGUGCCUAAUACAUGCAAGUCGAGCGAACAGACGAGGAGCUUGCUCCUCUGACGUUAGCGGCGGACGGGUGAGUAACACGUGGAUAACCUACCUAUAAGACUGGGAUAACUUCGGGAAACCGGAGCUAAUACCGGAUAAUAUAUUGAACCGCAUGGUUCAAUAGUGAAAGACGGUUUUGCUGUCACUUAUAGAUGGAUCCGCUCCGCAUUAGCUAGUUGGUAAGGUAACGGCUUACCAAGGCAACGAUGCGUAGCCGACCUGAGAGGGUGAUCGGCCACACUGGAACUGAGACACGGUCCAGACUCCUACGGGAGGCAGCAGUAGGGAAUCUUCCGCAAUGGGCGAAAGCCUGACGGAGCAACGCCGCGUGAGUGAUGAAGGUCUUCGGAUCGUAAAACUCUGUUAUUAGGGAAGAACAAAUGUGUAAGUAACUAUGCACGUCUUGACGGUACCUAAUCAGAAAGCCACGGCUAACUACGUG
rnacentral:rRNA from 1 species